GCCAGCGGCGAUAGCACGUUGAAUACACCAGUUCCCCAUGGAUCGCUAAAGUUAAGCUACGUUGCUCAUGGUAGGUAUCCGGAUGAGUGACCAUUACCCAAAUCGUGUUGUUUCCUGGUC
rnacentral:rRNA from 1 species